GUCAGUGGCGUCCGGGUGCGUAACACGUGGGUGACCUAUCUUCACGCGGGGGAUACCCUUCCGAAAGGGAGGCUAAUACCGCAUGGUCUCUUAUCUUAUGGGAAGAGAGGAAAGCUUCAGGGAGGGCAACCUUUUUGGGGCACGAGAAGGGGGGCCCGCGGCCUAUCAGCUAGUUGGUGGGGUAAUGGCUCACCAAGGCAUCGACGGGUAGCCGGUCUGAGAGGACGAACGGCCACAGUGGGACUGAGAGAUGGUCCACAGCUCUACGGGGUUUAGCAUGGAGGAAUCUUGCGCAACGGUUGGAAGACCGGCGCAGCAACGCCGCGUGGGGGACGAAGGCUUUCGGGUCGUAAACCCCUGUUGCUCGGGAAGAAGUACCACUGGGGAGAGCCUGGUGGGAAGACGGUACCGGGCGAGGAAGCACCGGCUAACUACGUGCCAGCAGCCGCGGUAAUACGUAGGGUGCAAGCGUUGUCCGGAUUUAUUGGGCGUAAAGGGUGCGCAGGCGGCCAGCAGUAGUGGCGCGUGGAAUCUCCUGGCUUAACCGGGAGGGGUCGCGCCAAACGGGCUGGCUUGAGGCAGGGAGAGGCAGACAGAACGGGCGGAGUAGGGGUGAAAUCCGUAGAGUCCGUCCGGAAUACCAAUUGCGAAGGCAGUCUGCUGGACCUGACCUGACGCUCGGGCACGAAAGCGUGGGGAGCGAACGGAAUUAGAUACUCCGGUAGUCCACGCCCUAAACGAUGUCGACUCGGUGUUGGGGGUAUCGACCCCUCCGGCGCCUCAGUUAACGCGGUAAGUCGACCGCCUGGGGACUACGGCCGCAAGGCUAAAACUCAAAGGAAUUGACGGGGGCCCGCACAAGCAGCGGAGCGUGUGGAUUAAUUCGAUGCAACGCGAAGAACCUCACCCAGGCUUGACAUGCUCCUGGUACCGACCCGAAAGGGGAGGGACCCGCAAGGGAGGGAGCACAGGUGCUACAUGGCUGUCGUCAGCUCGUGCCGUGAGGUGUUGGGUUAAGUCCCGCAACGAGCGCAACCCCCAUCCGUAGUUGCUUUGUCUACGGAGACUGCCGAGCGAACCUCGGAGGAAGGCGGGGAUGACGUCAAGUCCGCAUGGCCCUUACGCCUGGGGCCUCACACACGCUACAAUGGCCGGUACAGCGGGACGCCACCCAGUGAUGGGGCGCCAAUCCCCCAAAGCCGGCCUCAGUACGGAUCGGAGGCUGCAACCCGCCUCCGUGAAGUCGGAGUUGCUAGUAACCGCGCGUCAGCACAGUGCGGUGAAUGCGUUCCCGGGCCUUGUACACACCGCCCGUCACACCACGAAAGCCGGCAAGACUCGAAUGCCGUGGGCCAACCCGCAAGGGGGGCAGCGGUC
rnacentral:rRNA from 1 species